UACGAACCGUCCAAACGUUACUCGGAAUCACUGGGCUUAAAGGGUGCGUAGGCCGCGCGGAGGGUGGGAUGUGAAAUCCCCCGGCUCAACCGGGGAAUUGCGUCCCAAACCGCCGUGCUCGAGGGAGACAGAGGUGAGCGGAACUGAUGGUGGAGCGGUGAAAUGCGUUGAUAUCAUCAGGAACACCAGUGGCGAAAGCGGCUCACUGGGUCUUUCCUAACGCUGAGGCACGAAAGCUAGGGGAGCGAACGGG
rnacentral:rRNA from 1 species